rnacentral:rRNA from 1 species
GUACAAUGGAGGUGCUGGGGCUGUCGCUGACCUUUGAAAAAGGUUGUGCACGCCCGGAGCACUCUCUCAUAUCCAUCUCACCCCUUUGUGCAUUGCCGCGUGGGUCCCCUUUUGGCUUGUUCCGAGGGGGACCUGCGUUUUUACAUAGACACCCUUUGAAUGCAUGUGUAGAAUGUCUUACUUUUUGCGAUCACACGCAAUCAAUACAACUUUCAACAACGGAUCUCUUGGCUCUCGCAUCGAUGAAGAACGCAGCGAAAUGCGAUACGUAAUGUGAAUUGCAGAAUUCAGUGAAUCAUCGAAUCUUUGAACGCACCUUGCGCCCCUUGGUAUUCCGAGGGGCACACCCGUUUGAGUGUCGUGUAUACUCUCAACCUUCUUGGUUUCUUUGACCAGGAAGGCUUGGACUUUGGAGGUUUUUCUUGCUGGCCUCUUUCGAAGCCAGCUCCUCCUAAAUGAAUGGGUGGGGUCCGCUUUGCUGAUCCUCGACGUGAUAAGCAUUUCUUCUACGUCUCAGUGUCAGCUCGGAACCCGCUUUCAAACCGUCUUUGGACAAAGACAAUGUUCGAGUUGUGACUCGACCUUACAAAUCUUGACCUCAAAUCGGGUGAGACUACCCGCUGAACUUAAGCAUAU